UGGCCUGAUGAGUGCUAGUGUUGGAGGGGUUUCCGCCCUUUCAGUGCUGCAGCUUAACGCAUUAAGCACUUCCGCCUGGGGAAGUACGACCGCAAGGUUGAAACUCAAAGGAAUUUGACGGGGGCCCGCACAAGCGGUGGAGCAUGUGGUUUAAUUCGAAGCUACGCGAAGAACCUUACCAGGUCUUGACAUCUUCUGCCAAUCUUAGAGAUAAGACGUUCCCUUCGGGGACAGAAUGACAGGUGGUGCAUGGUUGUCGUCAGCUCGUGUCGUGAGAUGUUGGGUUAAGUCCCGCAACGAGCGCAACCCUUAUUAUCAGUUGCCAGCAUUCAGUUGGGCACUCUGGUGAGACUGCCGGUGACAAACCGGAGGAAGGUGGGGAUGACGUCAAAUCAUCAUGCCCCUUAUGACCUGGGCUACACACGUGCUACAAUGGACGGUACAACGAGUCGCGAAGUCGUGAGGCUAAGCUAAUCUCUUAAAGCCGUUCUCAGUUCGGAUUGUAGGCUGCAACUCGCCUACAUGAAGUUGGAAUCGCUAGUAAUCGCGGAUCAGCAUGCCGCGGUGAAUACGUUCCCGGGCCUUGUACACACCGCCCGUCACACCAUGAGAGUUUGUAACACCCAAAGCCGGUGAGAUAACCUUCGGGA
rnacentral:rRNA from 1 species